rnacentral:rRNA from 1 species
AUACGGAGGGUGCAAGCGUUACUCGGAAUCACUGGGCGUAAAGCGCGCGCAGGCGGGCUGAUAAGUUGGAUGUGAAAGCCUACGGCUCAACCGUAGAACUGCAUCCAAAACUGUCAGUCUAGAGUCUGGGAGGGGAAGAUGGAAUUAGUUGUGUAGGGGUAAAAUCCGUAGAGAUAACUAGGAAUACCAAAAGCGAAGGCGAUCUUCUGGAACAGUACUGACGCUGAGAUGCGAAAGCGUGGGGAGCAAACAGGAUUAGAAACCCUAGUAGUCC